CAGAGAAUGAGUGGAAUACUAAUACAUUGAAGGGCAAAAUCAAAACCCCAGAAGAUCUCUAAAAGUCUGAAUGAAUCAGCCCAUAUUACAAGAUAAAGUCCAUAAUGGUAAACGGAAGGCUCUGGUCUUGGUUUACAAAAUCCAACCACUCAAAUAUGUAGUUGCUGGAAGUUUUGUGGCCAUGGGGAUGCUGACAAAGAUUGCUUGGGAUGCACACAAGGCAGCGGCGAAGCCUGAGGGGUGCUGCCAGGCCGGGCUCUCCACUGGCCACGAAUUUGUACAUAUGGCUUUGGAAACCUCAUCCAACACUAAGUAAUGAACAUACAUGAGGAUACUAUGUAUUUUUCAACCUGCAAGCCCAAGAUUUCAAAUUCUUUGGUUUAUCGCAGAGAACACAUCUCUCAAAUUGUCUUCAAGGAGCACUGCAGGAGAAAGUCCUGGCAACUUGGCGCAGCGAAUUUGAUCAGCACCAUACGUACGACCUGUCUCAGGAACGGUGCCAUGUGUGUGACUAGGACUGCAAAGCAGCUUGUGUUCGUGGGGGAAAUGACAGGCACAGGAAGGAAAAGCUGAGAACACUGAAACGGUUCCUAAUCGUGCAGUGGGGAAAGGAGGGCGACUGCCGCGCAGAGUGGCACGUUGGCUGGAAGAGGGGAUUGAUCAGCAGUGCUGGCAGGAACAGCAUAGGCUUGUCGUGUGAUCUAACAGAAGAGGCAGCAAUCUGGAGGCGCCCCAGAUCAGAGAAGAGACAUCAAGCCCCAGGAGAAAUGGAUUUCCUUUCUCCCCACCCAUCAGCUGGGUAGGAAGCCCGAAGGAGCCUUUCAUGGAACUAUGGGAAGGGCUCCUCUGACGCAGAGGGGAUGAACUGGAAGCAAGAUGCUGACUGUUUCCAAAGGCUUGACAGUCAGAAGCAGGCAGGCUUCAGCCUAUUGAGAUACUUUACCCAAGAGGAUUUCCGCUUAGGUUCUGUCUUGAAAGAAAUAUUCGCUCCCAAAUUUCCUCCCAUCAAGAGUGCUUCUCCCUACAGAAGGCUAAGGCUCACAGGUUGUCCCCAGGGACACAUUUCUUUCAAGUAGGAUGACUGGUAUGUUUAGACUGAAAAGCUGAUUUACUGGAAGAUUGCUAUCACCCCCUGGCCUACCAUGUCGUUGGUGUGGCCAGUGUUUAUCAGACAGUGGUGUUUCCAGCUUAGGCCUGAAUGGAAGAAGAAACUGAAAGAAGAAAUAAAAAGAGAGAUGCGCCG
rnacentral:lncRNA from 1 species